GAGCUUGUGAGAGUCAUUUCACUGCAGACGCUCGUCCUGUCGAGAGUAAAUGAACAGAGCAUGGAUCUGUCACAGCACAGAAAGGACAGAGCUCCUCCCUCUAAAACCACUCACCCCCCAAAACCUCAGAGAUCUGCUCCUUGGAUCAGUGGUGUGUCAGUGAAGAGUGAUGACUCAAUGGAGCAUGGAAUAAGCUUUAAAGAAAGCAACAAUCCACAUAACGAACAGCUGUAUUCAGAGGUCCCCCAUGGUCAGCACCAUCAGACACAG